rnacentral:ncRNA from 2 species
UGUGGGAGCUGGCUUGCCUGCGAUAACGGUAGUGAAUGCACCGACGCUAUCGCAGGCAAGCCAGCUCCCACA